GAUGCCAGCUUCUCCACUAGGGGUUUGCAUGCCCCUGGGAGCCACAGACUGGAAAUGACAUGUGAGACCUCUACCAAUUGAGGGUUUCAUGAGCACGCUCCUUUGCCAAGAUCUUGGCGACUUGUCAGUCUCACCCUGUGUUAUUAUAGCAUAGAAAUUACUUCUGAUCAUGAUUGUGCUUGGCUGGAUGCUUUUUGUUGGAUUUGCAUGUUACAUGGGCACAUUUCCAGUGAUCACACACCAGUUGACCAAGAAGCUGAGCCAUGAUUGUCGUCUUAUGGAUGCUUCUCAUUGCAGGGACAAUGUGGAAGGGAUAUAAGUAUCCCCCAGGAGGGACCCCAGUGGAAAUAAGCAAAGAUGAUCCUGGUGAAGUGAUGCAGCUCUGAAGUUCACCCUGACCAAGCUGUACAGCUCCUGUUGGUUUCACAUAAAGUCAUUGCACAAGAUCCUGUCCUUUCAUGUAAAAAGUUACUGCAUUUUGUAA